UACGGAGGGGGGCUAGCGUUGUUCGGAAUUACUGGGCGUAAAGCGCACGUAGGCGGCUUUGUAAGUAAGAGGUGAAAGCCUGGUGCUCAACACCAGAACUGCCUUUUAGACUGCAUCGCUUGAACACGGGGAGAGGUGAGUGGAAUUCCGAGUGUAGAGGUGAAAUUCGUAGAUAUUCGGAAGAACACCAGUGGCGAAGGCGGCUCACUGGACCGUUGUUGACGCUGAGGUGCGAAAGCGUGGGGAGCAAACAGG
rnacentral:rRNA from 1 species